rnacentral:ncRNA from 2 species
AAUACCGGCGCUCUCCGAGCCACAUGACCUAAAGCUGCCAAGCCACGGUUUGCUGGCCGUCAGGGUACAUUGGGAAACCGGUGUGCCUUCCAUUGCGAAAAGGAGAGUUGGAACCCGGAUU